GUCCCUGUAGCUCAGUUGGAUAGAGCGCCUGCCUUCUAAGCAGGAUGUCGUGGGUUCGAAUCCCUCCAGGGACGCCA
rnacentral:tRNA from 1 species